rnacentral:rRNA from 1 species
GACAGAGGAUGCAAGCGUUAUCCGGAAUGAUUGGGCGUAAAGCGUCUGUAGGUGGCUUUUUAAGUCCGCCGUCAAAUCCCAGGGCUCAACCCUGGAAUGCCGGUGGAUACUGUCGGGCUAGAGUCCGGAAGGGGCGAGUGGAAUUCCUGGUGUAGCGGUGAAGUGCGCAGAUAUCAGGAGGAACACCAAUGGCGAAGGCAGCUCGCUGGGACGUGACUGACGCUGAGACGCGAAAGCGUGGGGAGCAAACAGG